GCUACGGGAGGCAGCAGUGAGGAAUAUUGGUCAAUGGACGAGAGUCUGAACCAGCCAAGUAGCGUGAAGGAUGACUGCCCUAUGGGUUGUCAACUUCUUUUAUAAAGGAAUAAAACGAGGCACGGGUGCCUUUUUGCAUGUACUUUAUGAAUAAGGAUCGGCUAACUCCGUGCCAGCAGCCGCGGUAAUACGGAGGAUCCGAGCGUUAUCCGGAUUUAUUGGGGUUAAAAGGAGCGUAGAUGGGUUGUUAAGUCAGUUGUUAAAGUUUGCGGCUCAACCGUAAAAUUGCAUUUGAAACUGGCAGUCUUGAGUACAGUUGAGGUAUGCGGAAUUCGUGGUGUAGCGGUGAAAUGCUUAGAUAUCACGAAGAACCCCGAUUGCGAAGGCAGCUUACUAAACUGUGACUGACAUUGAUGCUCGAAAGUGUGGGUAUCAAACAGGAUUAGAUACCCCUGUAGUC
rnacentral:rRNA from 1 species